rnacentral:rRNA from 1 species
UACAGAGGGUGCGAGCGUUAAUCGGAAUUACUGGGCGUAAAGCGUGCGUAGUCGGUUAUCUAAGUCGGGUGUGAAAUCCCCGGGCUCAACCUGGGAAUUGCAUUCGAUACUGGAUAGCUAGAGUUCGGCAGAGGGAAGCGGAAUUUCGGGUGUAGCGGUGAAAUGCGUAGAUAUCCGAAGGAACAUCAGUGGCGAAAGCGACUCGCUGGACAAGGUAUUGAACGCUGAGGUGCGAAAGCGAUGGGGAGCA